ensembl:lncRNA
GGCAAAUCUUUUUUUGUCAUCACAGAUGUUGCUGUAGGUCUGAUUAAUGAGAAUGGCACAUGUUGAAAACGUUUUAAAAGUUGUACCAGACGUUUUGAGUAGAUGUUUUUUGCCCUCAUUACAAUACAUCUUGCGACAUAUAUUUUUAUGGUUGUCCAUUAAACAAUCGCUCUAUUCCAUCCAUAGAGGUCGGUUUUGCGGUGGCAGCAGGCCAGGCAGGCUGACCCAAACUUCCCUCUCACUUUUCUCGUCUUGAUCUGGGCUAAUUGACUGGCAUGGCUGUCCUCGGCCCUUCUGGAUUCCCCGCACCGGCGUUGUGGACUGAGCCUGCUCCAGCCUGCCGACCAUUCCUCCAGCCAGCUCACCACUAUUCACCUCCUGGCUCUUUAUAAUAAAGGCUGUCGAAACCUUUUCUGAUCCGCGUUCUGCUCUCGGGUCCAGCACCACGACCAACAUGACAUUUCUAGGUCAUUCAUCUUGAGGCGUUCCCGGCCCAGCUGGGAGACCCGAUGCUGCUGGCUCUUCCCCGGCGUCUCCACCAGUUGGGCGGCCCUGCAACACUUUAGGCAAAGGCAACAUUUAAUCCAACACGAUUUCACACAUUAUUGUGCUAGUUCAGCUGUGCAAACAUGUAAUAAGUUUACAUUUCAACUUGGUGGGUAAAGCUCCACGUAGGCUGUGCUAGUUUGCAGAGCAAUAUUUAGCCUAAUUUUCUGGUUCAUGCGGGUUUGGAGCCAGAGUGACUCACUGCCGCUCCCUGAGGAACGAGGGGCAGUAGAUAUCUCACAAUUUAUAAGCUCUUCAUGUUCUAUUGAUGAUGUUGAUUUGUUUAUUUACAUUUUUAAAUAUUUGUUCAUAUUGGCUUAUGCGAUGCCACUUACACUUUUUAUUUCUCCCUUUCCCCCCAUUUUUGUUUCUCUUUUGCACGUCUGAGGUAAAGAAUGGAAGGCUACGGGAUCAAAAGAUUAGCUAUUUUCAUAUUUAUAUGCUUAAUAGCAAGAUUAAUCUUCUUUAAAACGGGCUUCAGUUCAUAUUGUUGUCGGAACCCUGCGGACCAGUGAACCCCAUGACAUUUAUUUGCUACAAAAACACUGGAAAUAUCAUAGGCACACAGCCUAACAACCCAUCAUUUGGAAAGUCAAUUAACAAUCACCUUCAAGGAUUUAAAUCAAAACAGAAUAAAUUACUCAAUCAAAAAAACGACUUGGAACCAAUUAAUUAUAGCACCAGGGACAAAACACGUCUAAUGAAAAACCUCAGGAAUUGAGCCUGUGGUCUGUAAUAGUCAAUGUAGGUCAAAUCAGCAGUGUUCUGUGAG